CCUACGGGUAGCAGCAGUCGAGAAUCAUUCACAAUGGGGGAAACCCUGAUGGUGCGACGCCGCGUGGGGGAAUGAAGGUCUUCGGAUUGUAAACCCCUGUCAUGUGGGAGCAAAUUAAAAAGAUAGUACCACAAGAGGAAGAGACGGCUAACUCGGUGCCAGCAGCCGCGGUAAUACAGAGGUCUCAAGCGUUGUUCGGAAUCACUGGGCGUAAAGCGUGCGUAGGCUGUUUCGUAAGUCGUGUGUGAAAGGCGCGGGCUCAACCCGCGGACGGCACAUGAUACUGCGAGACUAGAGUAAGGGAGGGGGAAGCGGAAUGCUCGGUGUAGCAGUGAAAUGCGUAGAGAUCGAGAGGAACACUCGUGGCGAAGGCGGGUUCCUGGACAUUAACUGACGCUGAGGCACGAAGGCCAGGGGAGCGAAAGGGAUUAGAUACCCCAGUAGUC
rnacentral:rRNA from 1 species